rnacentral:lncRNA from 1 species
AAAAAACCCAAGAAGAACAAUUUUGAAGGUAGAUAAGUUUAUUUGAAGGCUCAUGGUUUCAGAGGUCUCAAUCCAUAGAGAGCUGGCUCCAUUCUCAGGGGUAGAGGUGAGGCAGAACAUCAUGGCAGAUGAGUGUGGUAGAGGGAAGUGGCUCAAGACAUCAUACCAGGAAGCAGAGAGAGAGACUGAGGUCAGCUCACCAAAUAUAUACUCCAAAGGCACGCUCCCAACUGUUGUAGGGACAGACGAGGCAAGGCCCUGAAGAUAGCUGGAAACAGUUUUAUUUGGCUGCAGCCAGGUUCAGAGGGCACAGCUUUUGCUGUAAUCAAUCAAUCCCCUGAACCCCGAGUUCAGGGAGUUUCAGAGUUUUAUACCCAGCAUGUAAGGGGAGGGGCUCAGAAGUUCACACUCUGCAGAAGUUCAUAUAAAAGCAGCUUUUUCUUUCACCGUUCUGGGCAAGUUAACCCUUCAAGGACAACACCUGAGAAGGGGAGAGCUUCUUCUCCCCUUUCUUUCUUCCCCCUGCCAGCUGUUACCAUGGAGCCCAAUUGGUCACUUCUCUUAUCAUAAAAAUGUAGACAUCUCUGUGAAGCCCAGCUCAAGGUCAGAGACCUUGUUUACACAUUUCUACAAACUACUAUACUGGAUAUAUUUGUGAAAAAUUAGUAAGGGUGUGUCCUGUACCUGAAGUGCUGAUAACUUCCCGGCCAGUGGCCAAGUAAAACAGGGCAACAUGAAAAUAGGAAGUUUAUCUACAUUGGACUCUUUUGCUGACAGUCCUAAAAUCAGCCAUGGUGAAGAGGGCUUUUCUGUGGAGAAAGGGGGUGCCACUUCACAACUAAGUGUUAGAAUGGAACUGAUACAUGGAUCCUUUUUGUAGAUGCUUCAUAUUUCCCCAGGCUGAGUGGGGUUGGGCAGGGUGGUUCUUCAGGGUCCCCUGUGACUGUCUUCCUAGGAUGAUGCAGGUACACCCUGCUUGGUGCAGCCUGUCCUUGUGUUCAUAGCAUGUGUGUGUGACAGGUAGAAUGUGCAUGGAAACAGUGCCACAGUGCACAUGCCCAUAGCUUCCAUCAUUCCUGAUGUGUGUAACCUUAUUUGUCUCAUCUCCCCAAAGCCAGAAAGUGUAAUCAGCCUCUCUUAGCCCCAUGAAUGUGGAGGGAGGGGUGGGUCACCUAAGUGAAUGUGAGGUGCUCUAUUAGAAUGGGCUUGGAUGAGAGCCAG